UGGGGAAUUUUGGACAAUGGGCGAAAGCCUGAUCCAGCAAUGCCGCGUGUGUGAAGAAGGCCUUCGGGUUGUAAAGCACUUUUGUCCGGAAAGAAAUCCUUGGCUCUAAUACAGUCGGGGGAUACGGUACCGGAAGAAUAGCACCGGCUAACUACGUGCCAGCAGCCGCGGUAAUACGUAGGGUGCAAGCGUUAAUCGGAAUUACUGGGCGUAAAGCGUGCGCAGGCGGUUUGCUAAGACCGAUGUGAAAUCCCCGGGCUCAACCUGGGAGCUGCAUUGGUGACUGGCAGGCUAGAGUAUGGCAGAGGGGGGUAGAAUUCCACGUGUGAGCAGUGAAAUGCGUAGAGAUGUGGAGGAAUACCGAUGGCGAAGGCAGCCCCCUGGGCCAAAUACUGACGCUCAUGCACGAAAGCGUGGGGAGCAAACAGGAUUNGAUACCCUGGUAGUCCACGCCCUAAACGAUGUCAACUAGUUG
rnacentral:rRNA from 1 species